UACGUAGGGUGCAAGCGUUAAUCGGAAUACUGGCGUAAAGCGUGCGCAGGCGGCUUUGCAAGACAGAUGUGAAAUCCCCGGGCUUAACCUGGGAGCCUGCAUUUGUGACUGCAUGGCUGGAGUGCGGCAGAGGGGGGGAUGGAAUUCCGCGUGUAGCAGUGAAAUGCGUAGAUAUGCGGAGGAACACCGAUGGCGAAGGCAAUCCCCUGGGCCUGCACUGACGCUCAUGCACGAAAGCGUGGGGAGCAA
rnacentral:rRNA from 1 species